ACGAGCGCACCCCUGCUACUAGUUGCCACCAGGUAAUGCUGAGCACUCUAGUAGGACUGCCUACGCAAGUAGUGAGGAAGGUGGGGAUGACGUCAAGUCCGCAUGGCCCUUACGCCUAGGGCUACACACGUGCUACAAUGGUCGCUACAAAGGGUUGCAAUACCGCGAGGUUGAGCUAAUCCCUAAAAAGCGGUCUCAGUUCGGAUUGCAGUCUGCAACUCGACUGCAUGAAGCUGGAAUUGCUAGUAAUCGCGCAUCAGCACGGCGCGGUGAAUACGUUC
rnacentral:rRNA from 1 species